rnacentral:pre_miRNA from 1 species
CAGAUACUCCCUCUGUUCGGAAUUAUUUGUCGUGAAAAUGGAUGUAUCUAGACAUAUUUUAGUUUUAUAUACAUCCAUUUUCAAGACAAGUAAUUCCGAACGGAGGGAGUAUGUG